UCUGUCAAAACAAAAUCGAAAUUCUAUAGAUUGGAUUUUUGGAUUUUUUUAAUAAUUAAAUUAUUUAAACUUUUUUGAAUAAAAAUAAUAAGGUUGCUGGAAAUAAAGAUCAUUUUGAUAAACUAGACCGUCUGGCACCGGAUGCAGACGAGUUUCUGAGGUAGGAAAUUGCCAUGGUAUACCGCAGCUGCUUCGAUGGCCAAAAAGCGAAUACAUGUUUGGAUUCGUUUGCUUCCCGGCUCUAGAUAGGAUCUAUAGAGAAGUCUUUAUUUAAGGAAUCGUGUGUCAUGAUGCCAAAGUAGAUGGAUUUGCAUUUUUAAAACGGUCUUUCACUAGUGUCCGAAUCGAAAACAAGGCCCCGGGAAUCGAGAUCGGUGAGCAAGGUAAAAUAAUAUUGCGUCGCAUCCCACGCAGGUUCUCAUCGCGCUGGAAUCGGCAAAGAAGUUUUCCUAAGGGCACCAGGCGCAAAUAGUUAUUUAUCUAUUACAUCCAUUACAUCCAUGAACGAAGGUAUAGAAAAUGUCCAGACGCAGCCGCGGUAAUUUCCUACACCUGCCGGGUUUAUACGUUGUUCAAAAAGUCCUUCCUGAAUCUGGAAAGCUGGUACGAUCGAAGAUUCCAGUCCCUAUGUCGCCCGUCGGUGUGGGUACAGCUUCCGGAAUGUAUUGCCUGGCACGAGAAGCGCAAGGAGGAGUACGUUGUCUGGUGGUAGAAAGAUUACGGUACGGUAUCCUGGACGGACUCUUCGCACCACCAAUGAUCCCAUCGCCAGUUGUUUCAUAUAUGAGAAUGAUUUUUCCGUUAACCUAGCAAUAACGGGUGCUGGUCGGAUAAUACUGUUAGUGUUAAUAUAAAGGAAAAACGUUAAUCUAGAGCUCCGAAGAGAUUGAUCUUGUUCUUAUUUCGAUGACAGAAUAGGAUUAUUUGAAAUCUACUCUUUAAAUACCUUAACAAUCUUUAGCUAAGCUUAGACUGACUGACUGUUCAUAUCAUAUUGGUUGCUACACCGUGAUUAAUCAGAACUGGAGUAAAUUUCACUACGACCCAAGUGAAAACAGGUUUACCACCUAUUCUCGAAGUACACGUUUCAGCAGU